rnacentral:rRNA from 1 species
UACGUAGGGUGCGAGCGUUGUCCGGAAUUAUUGGGCGUAAAGGGCUCGUAGGCGGUUUGUCGCGUCGGGAGUGAAAACUCAGGGCUUAACCCUGAGCCUGCUUCCGAUACGGGCAGACUAGAGGUAUGCAGGGGAGAACGGAAUUCCUGGUGUAGCGGUGAAAUGCGCAGAUAUCAGGAGGAACACCGGUGGCGAAGGCG